AACGAACGCUGGCGGCGCGCCUAAUACAUGCAAGUCGAGCGAGAAGACGUAGCAAUACGUUUGUAAAGCGGCGAACGGGUGAGGAAUACAUGGGUAACCUACCCUCGAGUGGGGAAUAACUAGCCGAAAGGUUAGCUAAUACCGCGUACGCUCCUUGGACUUCGGUUCAGGGAGGAAAGCGAUACCGUGGGUAUCGCGCUCUUGGAUGGGCUCAUGUCCUAUCAGCUUGUUGGUGAGGUAACGGCUCACCAAGGCUUCGACGGGUAGCUGGUCUGAGAGGACGAUCAGCCACACUGGCACUGCGACACGGGCCAGACUCCUACGGGAGGCAGCAGUAAGGAAUAUUGCGCAAUGGGCGAAAGCCUGACGCAGCGACGCCGCGUGGGGGAUGAAGGUCUUCGGAUUGUAAACCCCUUUCGGGAGGGAAGAUGGAACGAGCAAUCGUUCGGACGGUACCUCCAGAAGCAGCCACGG
rnacentral:rRNA from 1 species